rnacentral:ncRNA from 2 species
GCAAAUUUUCAAGGAUAGGUGAAAUUCCUUACCGGCGGUUAAAGUCCGCAACCCUGCUUUGCACGGCAGGCUGAUUUAGUGAAAUUCUAAGACCGACAGUUACAGUCUGGAUGGGAGAAAAUUUUU